AAUCAACGCUGGCGGCGUGCCUAACACAUGCAAGUCGCACGAGAAAGGGGAGCAAUCCCUGAGUACAGCGGCGCACGGGUGAGUAACACGUGAAUUAUCUACCUCCGAGUGGGGAAUAACUGAGAGAAAUCUUAGCUAAUACCGCAUAACACUUACGAGUCAAAGCAGCAAUGCGCUUGGAGAGGAGUUCGCGGCAGAUUAGUUAGUUGGCGGGGUAAGGCCCACCAAGACGAUGAUCUGUAUCCGGCCUGAGAGGGCGCACGGACACACUGGAACUGAAACACGGUCCAGACUCCUACGGGAGGCAGCAGUGGGGAAUUUUGCGCAAUGGGGGAAACCCUGACGCAGCAACGCCGCGUGGAGGAUGAAAUCCCUCGGGAUGUAAACUUCGACAAGAACGGGAAGAAUAAGUAGAAAGUUAAUAUCUUUCAUGAUGACGGUACCGUUUGUAAGCUCCGGCUAACUACGUGCCAGCAGCCGCU
rnacentral:rRNA from 1 species